GACGAACCGUGCGAACGUUAUUCGGAUUCACUGGGCUUAAAGGGCGCGUAGGCGGCACCGCAAGUCGACUGUGAAAUCUCCGGGCUUAACCCGGAAAGGUCAGCCGAUACUGCAGGGCUAGAGUGCAGAAGGGGCAACUGGAAUUCUCGGUGUACGCGGUAGAAAUGCGUAGAUAUCGAGAGGAACACCUGCGGCGAAGGCGGGUUGCUGGGCUGACACGUGACGCUGACAGCGCGAAAGCUAGGGGAGCGAACGGG
rnacentral:rRNA from 1 species